CUUUUUAUUUAUGUCUGAGUCUGUGUGUGUAGGCUGCAUGUGUAGGGGUUCCCUUCCCAGAAGGCAGACGAUGCUGGAUCCUCUGGUGCUGGUGUUAUGGGUGGUUGUGAGCUGCCCUGUGUGAGUGCUGGGAACCUAACUUCCAUCCUGCGAGUGGGCAGCAAGUACUUGUAACCACCGAGCCAUUUCUUCAGCCCCUCCACUCUUUUUAAAUUCAAUUUUUCAUCUCCCCUGGAACUCACUGGGUAGCUCACAAUGAGAUAGCCUUGGCUCCAAGAUCCUCAUGCCUGCACCUCCCGGACGCUGCGAUGGCGGGGUGGACCAUCUCAGUGCUCCCAAAAGUUCAUUCACAGCGUCUCCAAACUCUCCUCCCGGUACCUGGGACUUAAGUCAGCAUUCUGAUUCCUCCUCGCCUGGUGUCUCUUUCAUAGCACCCAGACCUGCAAGUGUCUUCGUGUUGCUUGGACCGAUACUGUCUCGGGUUGAUUCUGCACAGAACACGUAACUUCUUAUGUAGCUCAACUCAACUAUGUAGCUGAAGAUGGCCUUGAACUCUGGAUCCUCCUGCCUCCUCUGGAGGGAUGGAUUACAGUGCUCGAAGACUGGAAGGCAGAUAUCUGAAGGUGAGAAGAGAAAUGAACCAGCAGUCUGAAAAAUGAGAGCCCUAAGGUGAAGCUGAGGAGAAGGAAAUGAAGCCAAAGAGGCAAGUGGUGGAGACAAUACUUCCGUGUAAAAAUGUAUUUAUUAAUGGCUGGAACAGAAGAAAUACCAAGUCCAGAUGGUAAGCAUUUUCUUGCAAAGUCACAUUAAAUUUAACAUUAGCCCAGGAAAGCUGAAC